rnacentral:rRNA from 2 species
GUGUUCAAAGCAGGCCUAUGCUCGGAUACAUUAGCAUGGAAUAACGAAUAGGACGUUUGAUCUUAUUUUGUGGUUUCUAAGAUCGACGUAAUGAUUAAUAGGGAUAGUUGGGGGCAUUAGUAUUCAAUUGUCAGAGGUGAAAUUCUUGGAUUUAUUGAAGACUAACUACUGCGAAAGCAUUUGCCAAGGAUGUUUUCAUUAAUCAAGAACGAAAGUUAGGGGAUCGAAGACGAUCAGAUACCGUCGUAGUCUUAACCAUAAACUAUGCCGACUAGGGAUCGGAUGAUGUUAAUUUUUUAAUGACUCAUUCGGCGCCUUACGGGAAAC